CUCGCUGUGAAGAUGCAGUGUACCCGCGGCAAGACGGAAAGACCCCGUGAACCUUUACUAUAGCUUGACACUGAACAUUGAGCCUUGAUGUGUAGGAUAGGUGGGAGGCUUUGAAGUGUGGACGCCAGUCUGCAUGGAGCCGACCUUGAAAUACCACCCUUUAAUGUUUGAUGUUCUAACGUUGGCCCCUAAUCGGGGUUGCGGACAGUGUCUGGUGGGUAGUUUGACUGGGGCGGUCUCCUCCUAAAGAGUAACGGAGGAGCACGAAGGUUGGCUAAUCCUGGUCGGACAUCAGGAGGUUAGUGCAAUGGCAUAAGCCAGCUUGACUGCGAGCGUGACGGCGCGAGCAGGUGCGAAAGCAGGUCAUAGUGAUCCGGUGGUUCUGAAUGGAAGGGCCAUCGCUCAACGGAUAAAAGGUACUCCGGGGAUAACAGGCUGAUACCGCCCAAGAGUUCAUAUCGACGGCGGUGUUUGGCACCUCGAUGUCGGCUCAUCACAUCCUGGGGCUGAAGUAGGUCCCAAGGGUAUGGCUGUUCGCCAUUUAAAGUGGUACGCGAGCUGGGUUUAGAACGUCGUGAGACAGUUCGGUCCCUAUCUGCCGUGGGCGCUGGAGAACUGAGGGGGGCUGCUCCUAGUACGAGAGGACCGGAGUGGACGCAUCACUGGUGUUCGGGUUGUCAUGCCAAUGGCACUGCCCGGUAGCUAAAUGCGGAAGAGAUAAGUGCUGAAAGCAUCUAAGCACGAAACUUGCCCCGAGAUGAGUUCUCCCUGACUCCUUGAGAGUCCUGAAGGAACGUUGAAGACGACGACGUUGAUAGGCCGGGUGUGUAAGCGCAGCGAUGCGUUGAGCUAACCGGUACUAAUGAACCGUGAGGCUUAACCUU
rnacentral:rRNA from 1 species